rnacentral:rRNA from 1 species
AUACCGGCGGCUCGAGUGGUGGCCGCUUUUAUUGGGCUUAAAGCGUUCGUAGCUGGGUUGUUAAGUCUCUUGGGAAAUCUGGCGGCUUAACCGUCAGGCGUCUAAGGGAUACUGGCAAUCUUGGAACCGGGAGAGGUGAGGGGUACUUCGGGGGUAGGGGUGAAAUCCUGUAAUCCUCGAGGGACCACCUGUGGCGAAGGCGCCUCACCAGAACGGCUUCGACAGUGAGGGACGAAAGCUGGGGGAGCAAACCGGAUUAGAUACCCGGGUAGUCCCAGCCGUAAACGAUGCGCGUUAGGUGUAUCGGUGACCACGAGUUACCGAGGUGCCGAAGGGAAACCGUGAAACGCGCCGCCUGGGAAGUACGGUCGCAAGGCUGAA